rnacentral:hammerhead_ribozyme from 1 species
AUCCAACUGACGAGUCUCCCAAAUAGAACAAAACACGAGUCCUGGAU